rnacentral:lncRNA from 1 species
GCGGUACUGGCCUUCGACCUGCGGUUCCUGGUUACGCGGAAAUUUUGGAGACCCUGGAGCCGCGGUCUGAAUCACAUCACCUCCGAGCAGGAGGCCCGUGUUGAGAACUGUGUUCUACCGUCUUCUUUUACGUUGGUUUUUAGACCAACCCACUCAACCUCCAGCUCCCGAGGUCAGGAACCGUUUCUGUCCUUCCCAUUCUUGACUCCUCCGUGCUUCUGUGGCUGGUGCAUCAGCUGCGUCCGGGCCGAGGGCUCAAACGACAGUGGCUUCACCCUCAAACCACAGCGGCUUCACCCUCCAGGAGCCGCUCCCCUUCAGUGAACAGGAUGGACACGGGUAGCCAUCGCUGGCAGGUGUGCAGGAGCCCAGCCUCUUUCUGAGCAGUGGCUUUGCUGUUGGAGCGUGAGGGCGUUCACAGUGACUUGCAGGAUGGCUAGAGGGGGUCGGCCAGCUGCACAUCCCACUGUAACCAGGCUGCUGUCCACGGCUACAUCUGCUGAAAGAACUGUGAACGUGAGCUAAGCUGGGCACCGCACGGCUGUGGAGAGGGGAAGUGGCACCGGCAACCCCCGCAGCAGAGGCUUCAGUGCCCAGCAGGUCGGGGGAGUUGUCAGAUGGGAGGAGCCGCGGAGCUCCUCCUGAGGGCCGGCUGGGCCCACACGUGGUUCGCUUUGCGCUUUAAACAUUAGAAGAGCGAGUCCUUUGUCCCAGCCCCGGCUGCUGCGCAGCAACAGGAAUGCCUAGCAACAGAAACACCGACAUCUCACAACUGUUGGGUGCGGAGGCCGGGGCAGACAGAGGGAGGCAGGGAGGCUGGGGCCAGUGUUCCCAGGUCACUCGUGGUCCCUGCUGCUGUGCCUUGUGGAAGGCAGGCCUCUCUGCUGCCACUUCUUGGCUGCCCCAAGGGCAAGCACACGCACAGGCUCCUCUGUUUCAAGGGUUUAUGGGGAAAUGGAGAAAGGGAGAGGGGAGCAAUUAGGAAGAAGACUCUCUGGUCCUGUCCCUCAGCAGUCAUGAUGCUGUGGUCACCGGGGCCUCCACUCUUUCUCAAGGAAGGUUCUCAGCACAUUGCUGUCUUCCAGGGGCCUGGCCAGGAUCUGCCUCUGUGGCCUCACUCUUCUUCUGGGUCCUGCCCCCGUUGGGAAGGCAGAGCCUCCACCCUGGGCUCAGGCUGGCUGCCUUGAUUCCACCCUCCUGGGACCUGCAGGCCUCCCACGAGAUGCCUCCUCCAACCUUGGCCAUGAUCAGUGCCGACGCCCAGCACUGCCUCAGCAGGAGUACAGAGCCCAUGGACACCAGGUGCAGGAGCACGGAGCCCGCGCAUGUCGGGUGAAGGAGCACAG